ensembl:lncRNA
UCUUGGCAAUAGUUAGGGCUGCAAGGAGAAUACCGUCAUUGGGACCUGAAUAGAUGACAAGUCACCUAGGAUGCACAGCUUUGAAGACAGUGGGAGCAAGCAGUUUCAUGUUGGGAGUGUCAUGGUCUGCGGCCCGGCGUCCGGGGUGCUGUUGGGAUGCCCACGCCCACGGGCGUGGCUGCUAACCCCACACCUGCAUCCCAUCCCAGGCGAUCACCAGGUGGACUAUUUAAUCCUGUCCUACCUGCUGCUCCACGCCAGUCCGUAGUCGCCUCCCAGCGGUAACGUACACCUGCAGGAAAAAAACCCUUAUGACAAAUUGUCCAUUGGAACGGACUCUGUUUUACCCUGUGUACUCAGAUCACAACUCGGCGUUUUUGCGAGCCACCUGCCUGUCCACCUGUCCGCCUGAGAUUCGGAAGCACUAUCAGCCUCGCCGUCUCGACCCUUUUGGAGCCCCCCCCCCUCUGGUUCACUCAGCCCGGCUACCUCCCUUCUCACAGCCCCGCUCUCGGCGUUCCCUGCGUAGUUCACCUCCCCAGUCCCUCAGUUUCUUCUGGUUCCAUACGUUGUUUUUUCGGCUACCCUCACGGGACACCUUUAGUUAUAAUAAAUUUGCUUUCUUUAUUCC